CACGUAGGGCGCGAGCGUUGUCCGGAAUUAUUGGGCGUAAAGAGCUCGUAGGCGGCCUGUUGCGUCCGCUGUGAAAGCCCGGGGCUUAACCCCGGGGUCUGCAGUCGAUACGGGCAGGCUAGAAUUCGGUAGGGGAGACUGGAAUUCCUGGUGUAGCGGUGAAAAUGCGCAGAUAUCAGGAGGAACACCGGUGGCGAAGGCGGGUCUCUGGGCCGAUAUUGACGUGAGGAGCGAAAGCGUGGGGAGCGAAACAGGG
rnacentral:rRNA from 1 species